rnacentral:misc_RNA from 1 species
UGGCUCUCGCAUCGAUGAAGAACGCAGCGAAAUGCGAUAAGUAAUGUGAAUUGCAGAAUUCAGUGAAUCAUCGAAUCUUUGAACGCACCUUGCGCCCCUUGGUAUUCCGAGGGGCAUGCCUGUUUGAGUGUCGCGUUAACCUCUCACUCCCGUUCUGUCAUGGAACUCGGGAUGUGGAUUUGGACCGUGCUGCAGUAAUGCGGCUCGUCUUGAAAUGCAUCGGCCGUCGUGGUUGGCCCCCUCCUGUGGUGUGAUAGUUGUCAUCGCCGCUUGGGUUGGGGUUCUUGACGGCCUCGUCGCCUUUACCGGCAAAUUUCUUGCGCUUUGACCUCAAAUCAGGUAGGACUACCCGCUGA